rnacentral:rRNA from 1 species
GAUGAACGCUAGCGGCAGGCCUAAUACAUGCAAGUCGGACGGGAUUGAGCUUUCGGGCUCAUGAGAGUGGCGCACGGGUGCGUAACACGUAUGUAACCUACCUUUAUCAGGGGGAUAGCCUCUCGAAAGAGAGAUUAACACCGCAUAACAUCAAGUUAUAGCAUUAUAGUUUGAUCAAAUAUUUAUAGUAUAAAGAUGGGCAUGCGGGACAUUAGCUAGUUGGCGGGGUAACGGCCCACCAAGGCGACGAUGUCUAGGGGAUCUGAGAGGAUGACCCCCCACACUGGUACUGAGACACGAACCAGACUCCUACGGGAGGCAGCAGUAAGGAAUAUUGGUCAAUGGGCGCAAGCCUGAACCAGCCAUGCCGCGUGCAGGAAGACGGCCCUACGGGUUGUAAACUGCUUUUGUACCGGAAUAAACCUUGAUAUGUAUAUCAAGCUGAAUGUACGGUAAGAAUAAGGAUCGGCUAACUCCGUGCCAGCCGCCGCGGUAA